UCCCUUGUAGCUCAGCUGGUAAAGAAUCCGCCUGCAGUGUGGAAGAUCUGGGUUCAAUUCCUGGGUUGGGAA
rnacentral:tRNA from 1 species